rnacentral:rRNA from 1 species
GACGAACGCUGGCGGCGUGCCUAAUACAUGCGAGUUGAGCGAUGAAGAUUGGUGCUUGCACCAAUUUGAAGAGCAGCGAACGGGUGAGUAACGCGUGGGGAAUCUGCCUUUGAGCGGGGGACAACAUUUGGAAACGAAUGCUAAUACCGCAUAACAACUUUAAACAUAAGUUUUAAGUUUGAAGGAUGCAAUUGCAUCACUCAAAGAUGAUCCCGCGUUGUAUUAGCUAGUUGGUGAGGUAAAGGCUCACCAAGGCGAUGAUACAUAGCCGACCUGAGAGGGUGAUCGGCCACAUUGGGACUGAGACACGGCCCAAACUCCUACGGGAGGCAGCAGUAGGGAAUCUUCGGCAAUGGACGAAAGUCUGACCGAGCAACGCCGCGUGAGUGAAGAAGGUUUUCGGAUCGUAAAACUCUGUUGGUAGAGAAGAACGUUGGUGAGAGUGGAAAGCUCAUCAAGUGACGGUAACUACCCAGAAAGGGACGGCUAACUACGUG